UGACAAGAUGUGAAGGCUGAACAAGGAUUUUCAAGGACAAGGAAUCUUGUACAUCCUGAAUAUAUAUAUUUUUUAGAAUGAUAAAAAUAAGCUUGCAAUUUUUUUUCACAAUGAAAAAAUAACCCAAAUUCUUAUAAAAGUAUUUUUUGUUGUGUAUAUAGAGCUGUUAGAAAACUGGAUAUGAAGCAAAGCUUAGUCUAGGUUAAAACAAAUGUCGCACAAUACUCUCUGUUGACCAACAUUCAAAGCAACCCCUGAGAUCAUUUAAUAUGAACACUUUAUCAGAAAAUCUUAAAGGUUACCUUGCAUUAUAAUUUUUAUGUAUUAUUUUAUUAUAAUCAUUAUUCAUAACCUUUGAUGUCAUUUUGUCAGAUUUGGAAGACAAUUUGUGUUGAAAAUGUGCAGAAUGCUCUUUUAUUUUUAUUGUUUUUUAAAAAGCUAUUUUAGUUGUUUGUUUUUUGCUUGAUUGUGAACGGUCAGAUUCUUAUGUAACUGACUGGAUCAAUUUGGAAUAUUUAACAUUAACUCUAUUCGUGCUGAUUAAUCAUUGAUCAGUAGGUGUGCCAGUGUGUAGGUGCUUACAUUAAAUGGUCUUGUGGCCAUUGGCGAACUAGCACGUAGGAAGCACAAAGUGGGCCGGUACUUGCAUAAUAAGUUGCAAUACGACGUCACACUGUCAACAAUUUAAAAUCACAGUCGUUUGGUGAGCAUUUUGACUUUCAAAAGCAAUUGCAAUCAAAGCAAAAACUACAUGCUUGACAAAUUAUAAACCAGGUAACACAAUUAUUUUGAUCUGUCUAUUGAGCUGUUCGUUUGGAUUUCAGCCGAUGAACAGCUGCAGCUGUUAUAGUUGAAUGUUACCCCUACUCAGAUGGUUAUGCAAGUCAAACCAACCGAUGUUACAUAAAGUCUUUAAUCGCAGCUACAACAGAGAACGAGACCCUAAUGAAAACAUCCAUCCAUCCAUCCAUCCAUCCAUCCAUCCAUCCAUCCAUCCAUCCAUCCAUCCAUCCAUCCAUCCAUCCAUCCAUCCAUCCAUCCAUCCAUCCAUCCAUCCAUCCAUCCAUCCAUCCAUCCAUCCAUCCAUCCAUCCAUCCAUCCAUCCAUCCAUCCAUCCCUAUCUAUCUAUCUAUCUAUCUAUCUAUCUAUCUAUCUAUCUAUCUAUCUAUCUAUCUAUCUAUCUAUCUAUCUAUCUAUCUAUCUAUCUAUCUAUCUAUCUAUCUAUCUAUCUAUCUAUCUAUCUAUCUAUCUAUCUAUCUAUCUAUCUAUCUAUCUAUCUAUCUAUCUAUCUAUCUAAUCCAUACAGCCAUCCAUUUUCUCCCGUUUAUGCAAUUCAGCUUAAACAGUGAGUUUUAGAUUUGAUGCAACUCACCCAAAAAAUGUGUUUACUUGAACCUCUUAUUCUAAAAUUAAGAAUUUAAACACAGGCAAAACCAGAAAAAACUAAUUCAUUAUCAAUAAGUGUGUGGCUAUGCGGUUUAACCUUAGCGUGACUGUUUAAGAUUAGGGAAACAAAACACAAACCAAGUGAAACAAAUGCUCCAUCCGCACGUGUCCCAGACUGUCUUUCUUAACAUCAUCAGCUGCGUCAGUUUAUGUUUGGCCUUUUUGACACAGUUAAUGAGGGCCUCUGGUGGUCGCAGUCAUUAUAACUGCUGCCAGUUGGGAAGUGGUAGUGAAUGAAAUCUACAAGUCAACUAAUGGGUGCGAGAAAAUGUGGGUCAAAGUAAAAUAAAAAGAGAAAAUGUGUUAAACUAUCGUGCUCACGCAUGCCAUGGCAUGUCUAAAAACUAAAGAAUGAGUGAUUUCAGGCAUCAUCUAUUAUAGUCUGAUGCAGAUGGACAAUGCACAGUAUGGCCUCAUGCUUACAUACUGUAUGCAUUUGUACUUAUCUCAGUUUAGAUCAGCUUAUGAAAUUUUUACCAUCAUCCUGUCAGUUGUCCGCAGAGCAAUAAACUGCUAUGUGCCUCCGUUUCUGCGGAUCCCCUCCUCCCGAUACCGUUUUUCUCUAUCUCUCCCUCACUUAAGUGUGUGCCAGAGGGAAGCCUCCCUGUGGAGCCCAUUAGAGUGGGUUUGAACUUGUCGUGUUGAUUCUAGUCUUAGAUGAGUUUGCAGACAAAAAAGAGCCAAGCUUACGUCAAAGACAUAAAAGAGCUGGCAGUAGGGGAAAAUAGGCCAAGAAGAGGUUGCAAUGAUCCACACAAGAGUGGCAAUUAAGAAGAGAGAAAGGGGUGAUGAGUCAAACACAUUCACAUGACUGACAGAACUAGACCCAUUAAUCACUUCUAAGCCGAGGCAUGACAAGGCAGGUUGUAAAGGGAAAACGGAAGAAAGAAGAGGAUGAUGAGAUAUGACAAGUUAAAGAACAGGAAUUCAGUGAAGGAAUUAGGUGAAAUGAAUUUGUCACAAGCUUUCAACCAGUAACAUCCUUUGCUUAAUAUGAGACCAAUAAAAGAUUUUUACCCUUUCUUUUUAAUAGUAAGUCUGUCAAAAAAGUUCAUUUGUAUUAUAAACUGCAGUUUAUUUAUUUUAUUUUUUGCAGCCCUCUGAGCAACCAGGCAGGUCCGCAGGCACUAGAGCUGCUCCUAUUAAUAGUUUACCCCCGCUUCAGUUCGUACAAUGAAAAAGUAAAGUGGCUUUGUAGUUCUUUCAAUUAGUUAAAGGUCAAGCGGUCAUCGUCCAUGACCCUUUCACUCUCAGUGUCAUGUCAAGUCAGUGUUCUGUAGAAGCACAAAACUUUCAGCCAUUCGGACUCUACCAAGAAGAGAGCAUGGAAUCCAAUGGAUAAAAAUAAAUGUUAUCAAGCUGGGAGUACAUCACAUCCUCCACCAAAAUCAUAAACUGUCAUCUGAUCAAUGGUGAAGACAACACACAUUCAAAAGACCAUCAACAGAAUGGAUGCUUUAAGGAGCUGGAGCAUAUCUUAUCUUACAUUGUGGAAUAGGCAGUUGACACCCCGGAUCCCUGUCGCCAGUAAUUCUCUGGGCAUACAGAGAGAGACAACCUUCCACACUUUCACUGAGUGGGAAUUCAAUCAAUGCUGUCUGAAUGAAAAGAUCUCCAGCAUUGAUCUUGAAAAGUUCUUGAUAAAGAGUGACUGAACGCAGGACGCUGGGGCGACCACCGUUUCCCCUUAUCAAACUAUUUGGGACCAUGAACAUUUUUCUUCUCUUUCUGAGAUUAAAACCUUGGCACAUUGCUGUCGAGCAAUGCAACAAGCAACAAAGUGUUUCGCUGGAAGGCUGAAUGCAAUUGGUGAAAAUGUCACAUCACAUUGUAGACACCACUACACAUGCAUGAUUAAUAUAGCUCACUUUUUUCUUAAUGUUUUUCAGGGUGUCAAUAUUUUGUUUUGUUACAAACAUUCAGAGACUUCUUAAUCAAAAAUCUGUGAAGGUUUUGGCACAGAUUAACAAUACGAUUCUCCUGUAUAUAAUAAGACACCUGUGGAAUAACAUCAUUAAAAUAACAAGAUGAUAUGUGAUAGUUGUUUGUCCUAUUAAGUUUUGUAUAGUUUUCUUUAACCCUUGCACAUGUUUUAGUGUCCUCAUAUUAUACAAAGAAAGAAAACAAAAAUCCAGGCUAGAUAAGGAACACGGUGAAGAGGCAAGGCCGAUUUGUGAAAUUCAUUUCAUCCCCAGGGGCAAACCCAAAUCACUUUAUUGAGUAUGGCAGAGGAAAGAAACAAAAACAAAAGACAUUAGCAAGAGAGAGCAGACAAAGUAGGCGCUUUCUAAUUUCUCUUCUGAAUAUCUUUAUUGUCAAGUCUUGUUUUACUCAGAGGCCUAGGAAGAGGUUGUAGACUGGAGGGGGGGUGUUUUCUGUAUGAAAUAUGUACGGUACUAUGUAAACAAAUAAAUUGAUGAAUUUUAUUAAUUCAUCACUAGAUGCUUGACAUGUUCUUAUCCAUAGAACAAAUUACAAGCAACUAAUAUUUUAUAUGUACUGUCAAAGAAUUUUAUAAACAAAUCAUGUAUACUGUGUUAUAUGUAUGUAUCUAAUAUGACACAGAUAUUGAAUCGGUGAAAACACAUAACGUUUGAACUGACUGCCUUAUGAUGUUACAGCAACAUUUGUAUAGGAGUCUAUUUACAAUAACAUACUGUAGAUGCCAAGAUGUCUGCAUUCCAUUCCUCUGAGACCUUCUUUUUCAUAUGAUAUAUUUAAAGUUUAUUAUGGCCCUUUUGCACUUUCCCCUAAAUUUAUUUAGUCACUGAUCAAAGUCAAAUAUUUGUAACAGUCAAUCAAAAAUCAUAUUGCUGUUGAAAUUCAAAUCACACAUUUAAUACGAAAGGUUAACUUGCUUUCCUGGAUUUAACCUCUUUUAAGAUGAAUUUUCCCCUCAUGCCAUGUCAAAGUAAUAAUAAUAAGAAAAAGUCAGACAAAAUACGAUCGUCGAACCAUUUUACUUUUUGUCAUUCACUCUGUGCUUGAAUGCACAUCAAGAAAUAUGUUGGUGUGAAUGAAUGGUGUGGAUGUUGAAGUUUUUUUUUCUUGAUGGAAGGAGAAAAAUACUCGUUUUUAAAAAGCAAGCCCUACUACGUGUGGACAUGGCCUUAAUUGUAACCAGGAAAUGUCUCUCCAAACAGCAAAUGAGUAGAAAUAGGCGAGAUAUGUGAUGGAUAUUACAAAGUACACACGCUAUGUAUACAAAAUAUCUACUCUAUCUUGAAGACACAACAGCUUGCAUUCAAGGUCGCACUGCCAGGCUGAUAUAGUUCACAGCACUAGGAAGAAAAACAUGAAACCAUUUUCAAACCUUGAGAAUGACAUCAAUGCACAAUUAAUCAUGUUCUUGCUGUGGUUACGAUAUUUUAAUUAUACCAUCAUGGGUUUCCAGAGCAAGUUGCUCACAUGUUGUUUUGGGGGAACUCAGGAUGACCUUCAUGAUGCAACUCACCCAUUGUUGUAUGUGGUUUUGGGACCGACUUUGGUUGGUUAUUGGUGCACUAACCUAAUGGUACAGCAUACAAUAACAACAACAACAAAAAAUUAAAUAAAAUAUUAUUGCCAAGUAGAGAAUGUAUUUCUCAUUUUCUGUACCAGGAACAUCAGGACUUCAGUCAUACACAACGUGAUUGUGUAUAAGACCUGGAAACCAAUCUAGCUGCAUGAAAUUAAGGGGCUGUUUAAAUGGUGAAGCUGCGACACCAAGACGCGACGAUUCUGUUGUGGAAUGGACUAGCUUAUACACGGUGAAGGCGAAACCGGAAGGCGAAGACUUUUGCUUCCGGCCUCCAAAGCGGAAGGAUUCGAUUGUGGGACUUGCUCUGCAACCAUAUGAAUGGAUCGCUCCCGCUCUGAGGAUGUCAGCACUCGCACACAUGGGCAUACGCAGUUGCUGCUAGUCAAUAUUCAAACAGCAAACAUGGUGGAACGUCGGCUUUAAUUCACUGUUUUUAUCAUAAUUUCAAUUUAAAUAUAUUUUAUGUUCGGAAUAUUGUGCCUUUUGAAGCAAAACAAAAAAACGCGUGGAUGCCAUUUUUUGGUGUGGGCGGGUAUUUUUUGAGGGGAAGUGGGCGUGUAUGUUGUCUUACAGGCUUAGGAGGUUGUUUUCAAGGAACUGCAUCAUUGGCUGUCACCUUGUAAAACUGCAUUGCCUCCUGGGGCCCAGCAUGAAUACUACAUCGUUUUCACGUGAAAUUGCUACAUCGUUUGAAUGGAGACGGAACCAUGUAAAUGCAAACAUGAAAUGUGUUAUAUUCUCAAAGCGUCACCAUGUAAACGGCCCGUAGGUUCCUUGAACCACUAUACCAGGAGUACCCAAUUCCAGUCUUCGAGUGCCCCUACCCAGCUUCUUUUCCAUGUCUCCCUCCUUUAACACACCUGAAUCAAAUGAUCAGCUCUUUAAGAGCCUGAUAAUAAUCUUGAUUAUUUGUGUUAUUCCUUUAAUGAUCAGCUCUUUAAGAGCCUGAUAACAAUUCUUAUUAUUUCAAAUUUGAAAAAGAAGGUCCAAAUGAAACCUUUUUUUCAAGUUUGUAAAAAGUCAAAAUGAAUAUGUGUAAUAAGCGCUCAAAUAUCUAUUACCCUUGCUAAAUUCUGUUUUUUUUUU